CUGGGAAGUCUCACCUUCGCGCCGGAAGCCAGGCGUCUCAGCCCGCGCCGGUCAGGGCGCGCGGACACCGCCACAGCGCACGCGCUAGCUCCCUCGCAGCCGGCGGGCAUGGGGCGGAAGUGCCCUGAAGUAGUCUUGGGAUUCCGCUGGGGCCCGGGAGGGGUUUGGAGUUUGGAACUUGGUGCAGUGGCGAAUGUUGCUAGUUUCGGUUAGGGCAAUGCUUUCCCAUGGUCGGGACUUUCCAGAGGAGUUGAGAAUGUUGUAAACAACAAGAUGGCACCGAGGACCGCGCGGUGAGCCUGCCUGCUGCGUGACACCUCAUCUGAGGACGCGUGCACACUGCGUGAACAGACAGCGGAUUGGAGUGUUCCAUGGAUGGACUUGAGCCUGCUUGCAAUUGGCCGGAUUUUGUAUAUAAGCUGUGUGCUGAGGAAGGAGGGGGCUUUUCUGUCCACUCUCCUCCCUUCAUUCUUUCUCUGUCACUGUUAUUUUCUUAUUAAAAGUCUGCUGAAGACCGAUAA